rnacentral:rRNA from 1 species
CAGAGGGUGCGAGCGUUGUUCGGAAUUACUGGGCGUAAAGCGCGCGCAGGCGGCCUUUUAAGUCUGACGGUGAAAUGCCGGGGCUCAACCCCGUGCCCGCCGGAGAUACUGGGAGGCUGGAGACGAGUAGAGGCAAGCGGAAUUCCGGGUGUAGCGGUGGAAUGCGUAGAGAUCCGGAAGAACACCGGAGGCGAAGGCGGCUUGCUGGACUCGGUCUGACGCUGAGGCGCGAAAGCGUGGGGAGCGAACAGGAUUAGAUACCCUGGUAGUCCACGCCGUAAACGAUGGGCACUAGACGCGGGUGGGAUCGACCCCCUUCCGUGUCGCAGCUAACGCGAUAAGUGCCCCGCCUGGGGAGUACGGCCGCAAGGCUG